AUACGGAGGGGGUUGGCGUUGUUCGGAAUUACUGGGCGUAAAGCGCACGUAGGCGGACUGGAAAGUUGGGGGUGAAAUCCCGGGGCUCAACCCCGGAACUGCCUCCAAAACUUCCAAUCUAGAGAUCGAGAGAGGUGAGUGGAAUUCCAAGUGUAGAAGUGAAAUUCGUAGAUAUUUGGAGGAACACCAGUGGCGAAGGCGGCUCACUGGCUCGAUACUGACGCUGAGGUGCGAAAGCGUGGGGAGCAAACAGGAUUAGAAACCCCAGUAGUCC
rnacentral:rRNA from 1 species